CUGAAAAAUCCCUGUAUGGGAAUGAUACUUUCAAUUUUGUCAUUCAUAUCUCACUAAACGUGCCGUGGCUUACGAAAUUUAAACAGCCAGAUUGAAAAACUCUUGUAGAACUUUUACAAUGUUCAGACGCUUCAAUCUUCUUCUGCUGCUGUUUUGUCUGGUUUAUCACAGCGGAAACACAUAUAAACCUGUGUCAGGAGAAAAGAGAGGAAACAUCAGACUCAGAUGUGAACAUGAGGACAGUAAUAUUGUUCACAUUGAGUUAUUCCAUUGGUCAAGAGACAUAUCUGUGUGUGAGACUGAAGAAUGUAGAGGACGAGUGUUUAAAGAAGGAAACUGUGACGUCGUCAUCAAGAAUCUGAUCUUCAGUGACGCUGGGAAAUACACUUUGAGAAUCUAUUACAAUAAUGAUCAGACAGAGCUGAAGCCAAAUAAUGAUCAGAUAGUGCCGAUGGAAAUAAAGCAGUGGACGUACCAUCUUCAUAUUCAUGGUGAAGACUAAACUGAUCAAACAUCAGCAUCUGCUUCUUUAAAUGAUUACAUUUGGUCACCAAUCAUAAAUCUGUGUUUAUGGUCUUGAUUGAUUGACAGCAUUAUAAUAAUGAUUAAUGUCUUUCUGUUUCUCCUCAGAUGAGAUUUCUGUGAAAACAGGCGAGGAGCUAAAGAUGUCUGUUCUGGUGUUUAAUGCUGAUAAAGUGAAGACAAACUCUAGUGGAGAGUGGAAGGAGGUUUGGACGAGAGGUCACGGGGUUCAGAGCGACCGAAUGAGUGAUGAUACUGAUAUAAACCUGAUCAUUAAAUCAUUUCUGGACAGUGAUGCAGGAACAUACAGAGUUCUGGACACUGAAGGAGAAAUCCUGAUCACAGUCACAAUCACAGGUGAGAGAAACUCAGAUAUGAGGAAAUAUUAUUUAUAAAGCAUUUGGACAGCUGAGGUUUAUUCAUCAUGAUCUGAACAUUAACAGAAAUAUUGAUAUUAAACUGUGUGACUUGCUUUUCAGCAUCUGGUACAGAAUCACCGGAAAAACACAAAAACACAGAUAUAGACCAAACGAA